rnacentral:rRNA from 1 species
AGUGAACGCUGGCGGCAGGCCUAACACAUGCAAGUCGAACGGCACCACAGUAAGAGCUUGCUCUUACGUGUGGCGAGUGUCGGAAGCUUGCGGAAUACAUCGGAAUAUACUUUUUCGUUGGUGAUAAUGCAGGGUAACUUAUGCUAAUACCGCAUACGACCUACGGGUGAAAGCAGGGGAUCUUAAGACCUUGCGCGAUUGGAUGAGCCGAUGUCGGCUUAGCUAGUUAGCGGGGUAAGGGCCGACCAAGGCGACGCUCCGUAGCGGGUCUGAGAGGAUGAAGAGCCACAAUGGGACUGAGACACGGCCCAGACGCCUGCGGGAGGCAGCAGUGGGGAAUAUUGGACAAGGGGCGCAAGCCUGAUCCAGCAAUGCCGCGUGAGUGAUGAAGGCCUGAGGGUUGUAAAGCUCGUUUACACGGGAUGAUAAUGACAGUACCGGAAGAAUAAGCUCCGGCUAACUCCGUG